CUACGGGAGGCAGCAGUGGGGAAUUUUGGACAAUGGGCGAAAGCCUGAUCCAGCAAUGCCGCGUGCAGGAAGAAGGCCUUCGGGUUGUAAACUGCUUUUGUACGGAGCGAAAAGGUCCUUUCUAAUACAAGGGGCUCAUGACGGUACCGUAAGAAUAAGCACCGGCUAACUACGUGCCAGCAGCCGCGGUAAUACGUAGGGUGCAAGCGUUAAUCGGAAUUACGGGGCGUAAAGCGUGCGCAGGCGGUUUUGUAAGACAGGCGUGAAAUCCCCGGGCUCAACCUGGGAAUGGCGCUUGUGACUGCAAAGCUGGAGUGCGGCAGAGGGGGAUGGAAUUCCGCGUGUAGCAGUGAAAUGCGUAGAUAUGCGGAGGAACACCGAUGGCGAAGGCAAUCCCCUGGGCCUGCACUGACGCUCAUGCACGAAAGCGUGGGGAGCAAACAGGAUUAGAUACCCGCGUAGUC
rnacentral:rRNA from 1 species